rnacentral:precursor_RNA from 7 species
GGCUCUGCCUCUCUCCGGGCUCCGCCUCCCGUGCCUACUGAGCUGAAACAGUUGAUUCCAGUGCACUGGCUCAGUUCAGCAGGAACAGGAGUCCAGCCCCCUAGGAGCUGGCAACCCU